rnacentral:tRNA from 1 species
GGGAGUGCGCCGAAGUUGGAGAGUCGGGGCGGACUGUAAAUCCGUUGUCUUUGACUGAGUAGGUUCGAUUCCUACCGCUCCCACCA